rnacentral:rRNA from 1 species
AGGUGAAAAGGACCCCGGGAGGGGAGUGAAAGAGAACCUGAAACCCUGUGUCUACAAGCUGUGGAAGCACUUUAUAUGUGCGACCGCGUACUUUUUGUAGAACGGUCCGGCGAGUUACGCUUACUGGCAAGGUUAAGCACUUCAGGUGUGGAGCCGUAGGGAAACCAAGUCUUAAGAGGGCCAGAGUCAGUAGGAGUAGACCCGAAACCGGGUGAUCUAUCCAUGUCCAGGUUGAAGCUGCCGUAAGAGGUAGUGGAGGACCGAACCCACAUCCGUUGAAAAGGGUGGGGAUGAGGUGUGGAUAGGGGAGAAAUUCCAAUCGAACCCGGAGAUAGCUGGUUCUCCUCGAAAUAGCUUUAGGGCUAGCCUCGAUACAGAUUUGCGGAGGUAGAGCACUGAAUUUCCUAGGGGGCGUCAAAGCCUACCGAAGAAUAUCAAACUCCGAAUGCCAUGUAGACAGGACCGGGAGUCAGACUGCACGAGAUAAGUUGGGCAGUCAAAAGGGAAAGAGCCCAGACCUGCAGCUAAGGUCCCAAAAUGUGUGUUAAGUGGAAAAGGAUGUGGGAUUUCAAAGACAACCAGGAUGUUGGCUUAGAAGCAGCCAUACAUUAAAAGAGUGCGUAAUAGCUCACUGGUCGAGUGACUUUGCGCGGAAAAUUUAACGGGGCUAAAACGUACACCGAAGCUUAGGCUUGCAACUAUGUUGCAGGGGUAGGGGAGCGUUGAAUGAGGGGUGAAGUCGUAGCGAAAGCGACGGUGGACUUCAUUCAAGUGAGAAUGCCGGAAUGAGUAGCGAGAAUUAUGUGAGAAUCAUAAUGGCCGAAAGUCUAAGGAUUUAGGAGGAAGGUUCGUCCGCUCCUAGUAAGCCGGGAGCUAAGGCGAGGCGGAAACGCGUAGCCGAUGCACAUACGGUAGAAAUUCCGUAGCCUCUGAAAGAUUAAAGCACAAGGACACUUGAGAAGCGUUUAGCCGGGCGUUGGUUGCCCCGGUCGUAAGGGACUCCGAAUGGAGGAAGUAAAUGUGGAUUGAGGCAAGAAAAGUUGUGCGUAUAUCUGAAGAGCCCGUACCGCAAACCGACACAGGUAGACAGGAAGAGGAUUCUAAGGCCAACGGGAGAAGGGUUGUUAAGGAACUCGGCAAGUUGACCCCGUAACUUCGGAAGAAGGGGAGCCUCGAAAGAGGCCGCAGUGAAUAGGCCCAAGCAACUGUUUACCAAAAACACAGGUCUAUGCUAAAUCGAAAGAUGACGUAUAUGGGCUGACGCCUGCCCGGUGCUGGAAGGUUAAGAGGAGGGCUUAGCGCAAGCGAAGGUCUGAAUUGAAGCCCCAGUAAACGGCGGCCGUAACUAUAACGGUCCUAAGGUAGCGAAAUUCCUUGUCGGGUAAGUUCCGACCCGCACGAAAGGCGUAAUGAUUUGGGCACUGUCUCAACGAGAGACUCGGUGAAAUUUUAGUACCUGUGAAGAUGCAGGUUACCCGCGACAGGACGGAAAGACCCCAUGGAGCUUUACUGCAGUUUGAUAUUGAGUAUCUGUACCACAUGUACAGGAUAGGUAGGAGCCUAUGACCUCGGGACGCCAGUUUCGAGUGAGGCGUUGUUGGGAUACUACCCUUGUGUUAUGGCUACUCUAACCCAGAUAGGUUAUCCCUAUCGGAGACAGUGUCUGACGGGCAGUUUGACUGGGGCGGUCGCCUCCUAAAAGGUAACGGAGGCGCCCAAAGGUUCCCUCAGAAUGGUUGGAAAUCAUUCGUAGAGUGUAAAGGUAUAAGGGAGCUUGACUGCGAGAGCUACAACUCGAGCAGGGACGAAAGUCGGGCUUAGUGAUCCGGUGGUUCCGUAUGGAAGGGCCAUCGCUCAACGGAUAAAAGCUACCCUGGGGAUAACAGGCUUAUCUCCCCCAAGAGUUCACAUCGACGGGGAGGUUUGGCACCUCGAUGUCGGCUCAUCGCAUCCUGGGGCUGAAGUAGGUCCCAAGGGUUGGGCUGUUCGCCCAUUAAAGCGGUACGCGAGCUGGGUUCAGAACGUCGUGAGACAGUUCGGUCCCUAUCCGUUGUGGGCGCAGGAAAUUUGAGAGGAGCUGUCCUUAGUACGAGAGGACCGGGAUGGACGUACCUCUGGUGUACCGGUUGCAGACCAACUGCACAGCCGGGUAGCUAUGUAUGGAACGGAUAAACGCUGAAGGCAUCUAAGCGUGAAGCCGCCCUCAAGAUAAGAUUUCCCAUUCU